UCCGGGUGAUCUUGAUCAGUGGGUUCUGCCGUGAUCAUGCAUAUGUACAUAAUCAACGAUUUCGCUCAGCAGUGAAGGAUGAUUGAGGCAAGAGGUUGACCUGAACCAAUCCUUCCCUCCGGGUUUUAGGUUGUGCAAAACAACCCAUGUCAUCUAACUUAUUAAUGUUUCCGUGUUCUAAUCAACAGCUAUGAUGCAUUGACGUUGACCUUUAAUCUAUUAGUUUUCUUGUCAGUCAU
rnacentral:lncRNA from 1 species